rnacentral:tRNA from 1 species
GGGCUGCUAGCUCAGUUAGGUAGAGCGCCAGGCUCUUAACUUGGUGGUCGCGGGUUCGAAUCCCGUGCAGCCCG